GCCCUGCUGGUGGAAUUGGCAGACACGCUAGACUUAGGAUCUAGUGCCGAGAGGCGUGGGGGUUCAAGUCCCUCGCAGGGCACCA
rnacentral:tRNA from 1 species